AUUGAACGCUGGCGGAAUGCUUUACACAUGCAAGUCGAACGGUAACAGGUCUUCGGAUGCUGACGAGUGGCGAACGGGUGAGUAAUAUAUCGGAACGUACCUUAUCGUGGGGGAUAACGCAGCGAAAGCUGUGCUAAUACCGCAUACGCCCUGAGGGGGAAAGCGGGGGAUCGAAAGACCUCGCGCGAUUAGAGCGGCCGAUGCCUGAUUAGCUUGUUGGUGGGGUAAAAGCCCACCAAGGCGACGAUCAGUAGCUGGUCUGAGAGGACGAUCAGCCACACUGGGACUGAGACACGGCCCAGACUCCUACGGGAGGCAGCAGUGGGGAAUUUUGGACAAUGGGCGAAAGCCUGAUCCAGCAAUGCCGCGUGAGUGAUGAAGGCCUUAGGGUUGUAAAGCACUUUCAGUCGAGGAGGAAAGGUCAGUAGCUAAUAUACUGCUGGCUGUGACGUUACUCGCAGAAGAAGCACCGGCUAACUCCGUG
rnacentral:rRNA from 1 species